CCUACGGGAGGCAGCAGUGGGGAAUAUUGGGCAAUGGGCGCAAGCCUGACCCAGCAACGCCGCGUGAAGGAAGAAGGCUUUCGGGUUGUAAACUUCUUUUAAGGGGGAAGAGCAGAAGACGGUACCCCUUGAAUAAGCCACGGCUAACUACGUGCCAGCAGCCGCGGUAAUACGUAGGUGGCAAGCGUUGUCCGGAUGUACUGGGUGUAAAGGGCGUGCAGCCGGUGAGACAAGUCAGAUGUGAAAUCCACGGGCUCAACCCGUGAACUGCAUUUGAAACUGUUUCCCUUGAGUGUCGGAGAGGUAAUCGGAAUUCCUUGUGUAGCGGUGAAAUGCGUAGAUAUAAGGAAGAACACCAGUGGCGAAGGCGGAUUACUGGACGAUAACUGACGGUGAGGCGCGAAAGCGUGGGGAGCAAACAGGAUUAGAUACCCCUGUAGUA
rnacentral:rRNA from 1 species